AACAGGCAAAACCAAACUCCAGCAUUCACCAGCUUAGCAAAGAGCAGCAGGUUUGGUGACACGCUGCCAACAUCAUGUCAGUGCUGACACCGGCCCCUGGAAAAUGACAUCACAAAGGUGGGACAAUUCGUGAGAGGAGAUGAUCCCAUGACAAGACAGGAAGCCAGGGAGCUCUCCAGGGCUGGGCUUGCUCUGACAACUCGAAGUUGAGACAUCUAAUUCCAAGUCCCCAGAGAACUCUCUUAAUACCUGGAGGCCAGUGACCUCUGACCUUCCCAACCCCAGCUUUUAAGAGUCAUGUCACCUAGCCAACAUCUCACAGAGGACUGAGCCUCUGACCCAGCGAACCCAAGCAAACUACACAGCAUCGCCAUCUCACGCCUCACAGAUGCAAGAGGAGAGAAAAACAUACACAGCAAGCAUUCCCUAUCACACGAAUUAAAAGCCUGGAAGAGACGCAGACAUCAGGGCUGACACUCUGAAGAUGGUGGGACAGCAAGUGUCCAUGACACACUGCAAUUUGUAUUUGCUUUUUUUUUUUAACAUCUUAAACACAUGACUGCAUUAUUUGCUGGAUAAAAAUAAUCCUUUUGAAAGUGUGAACACACUGUAUGCUUUACAAUGAACGUUGUCCCCUCUGCCACGAGAGAGACUGUUGUCUGUGGGCCAGGCAGGAAUGGGUCCUGACCAGGCACAGAAUGCUUCAGCACUCCCACCCAGGGCUUCUCCAUCUCCAGGGCUGCAGGCGAUGCUCUCCUGCGGCACCUGCCAUGUAAUCUUGGCAGUCUCUUUACACACCCAACACAGACCAAGACACUUCAGGACAGGAAGAAGAUCAUGGACACCUGGGACUUCCGCCAUCAGCGUCAGCUCCACAGAGAUGGGUGACCGGAAACAAAGCAAAGGACACCAGAGAACUAUGUGUACCUGACAUGUACCGUUGGUGAGCUCCCCAGCUGUGGAGCUGGAGGCAGAGAGGACAGGAAAUAGGGCUCAAGGCCCACCCCGCUGACCCGCAUCCUCCAGCUCCUAGGGGUCCCAGCCUUCUGAAGAUACAUUGCUAGCUGAUGCUGACAUGCACAGGUCUGUGAGAGAUGUCUUCUAUCCCAGCCGGUUGGUCGGUGGCUGGCCACUUGGAAGGAUGAUGAGAAGCCAGCCGCCUCCAGCGAGAUUUCCAGAUACCUUUGGCAUCCACCGUGUUUGAGAUGUGUUUGGACCCCAACUCACCCUCUCCAGUGUUCAUAACUCACUACAUCUUAUGUGAAGUUUUUUUGCUAAUUGA